rnacentral:rRNA from 1 species
CGCGGCCUAUCAGCUUGUUGGUGGGGUAAUGGCCUACCAAGGCGACGACGGGUAGCCGACCUGAGAGGGUGAUCGGCCACACUGGGACUGAGACACGGCCCAGACUCCUACGGGAGGCAGCAGUGGGGAAUAUUGCACAAUGGGCGCAAGCCUGAUGCAGCGACGCCGCGUGAGGGAUGACGGCCUUCGGGUUGUAAACCUCUUUCGCCAGGGACGAAGCGUGAGUGACGGUACCUGGAGAAUAAGCAUCGGCCAACUACGUGCCAGCAGCCGCGGUAAUACGUAGGGUGCGAGCGUUGUCCGGAAUUACUGGGCGUAAAGAGCUCGUAGGCGGUUUGUCGCGUCGUCUGUGAAAUUCUGCAACUCAAUUGCAGGCGUGCAGGCGAUACGGGCAGACUUGAGUACUACAGGGGAGACUGGAAUUCCUGGUGUAGCGGUGAAAUGCGCAGAUAUCAGGAGGAACACCGGUGGCGAAGGCGGGUCUCUGGGUAGUAACUGACGCUGAGGAGCAAAAGCGUGGGGAGCGAACAGGAUUAGAUACCCUGGUAGUCCACGCCGUAAACGGUGGGUACUAGGUGUGGGGCUCAUUUCACGAGUUCCGUGCCGUAGCUAACGCAUUAAGUACCCCGCC